GGACGAACGCUGGCGGCGUGCUUAACACAUGCAAGUCGAACGAGGAUUAUGUUGGAAGGGCUUCGGCCUGGAAGGCGUAAUUCGAGUGGCGACGGGUGAGUAACGCGUGAACAAUCUGUCCCGGACAGGGGAAUAACACUUGGAAACAGGUGCUAAUACCGCAUAAGACCACGCCCUCGCAUGGGGGAGGGGUAAAAGGAGGAAUCCGGUUCGGGGUGAGUUCGCGUCCGAUUAGAUAGUUGGUGAGGUAACGGCCCACCAAGUCGACGAUCGGUAGCCGACCUGAGAGGGUGAUCGGCCACAUUGGAACUGAGAGACGGUCCAAACUCCUACGGGAGGCAGCAGUGGGGAAUAUUGGGCAAUGGGCGAAAGCCCUGACCCAGCAACGCCGCGUGAGUGAAGAAGGCUUUCGGGUUGUAAAGCUCUGUUAUAGGGGACGAAGGAAGUGACGGUACCCUAUAAGGAAGCCCCGGCUAACUACGUGCCAGCAGCCGC
rnacentral:rRNA from 1 species